ACACACAGGCUGGAGGAGUCUCUCUCUGUAACACACACACACACACACAGGUUGGAGGAGUCUCUCUCUGUAACACACACACAUGUUGGAGGAGUCUCUCUCUGUAACACACACACACACACAGACUGGAGGAGUCUCUCUCUGUAACACACAAACACACACAGGCUGGAGGAGUCUCUCUCUGUAACACACAGACACACACACAGGCUGGAGGAGUCUCUCUCUGUAACACACAGACACACACACAGGCUGGAGGAGUCUCUCUCUGUAACACACACACACAGACUGGAGGAGUCUCUCUCUGUAACACACAAACA